rnacentral:rRNA from 1 species
CGGGGAGCUGUAAGUAAGCUUUGAUCCGAAGAUUUCCGAAUGGGGGAACCCGCUAUCCGUUAUUGGAUAGUACGUAUUACUGAAUACAUAGGUAAUACGAGGCAGACCCGGGGAACUGAAACAUCUCAUUACCCGGAGGAAGAGAAAGCAAAUGCGAUUUCCUGAGUAGCGGCGAGCGAAACGGAAUUAGCCCAAACCAGAAGGCUUGCCUUCUGGGGUUGUAGGACACUCCUUUGGAGUUACAAAGAAACCAUAUAGACGAAGCGGCUUGGAAUGGCCCGCCAUAGAAGGUAAGAGCCCUGUACUUGAAAUGUGGUUUCCUCCGGAGUGUAUCCUGAGUACGGCGGAACACGUGAAAUUCCGUCGGAAUCCGGGAGGACCAUCUCCCAAGGCUAAAUACUCCCUAGUGACCGAUAGUGAACCAGUACCGUGAGGGAAAGGUGAAAAGCACCCCGGAAGGGGAGUGAAAUAGAUCCUGAAACCGUGUGCCUACAAGUAGUCGAAGCCCGUUAAUGGGU